rnacentral:rRNA from 1 species
GCAAGCGUUGUUCGGAAUUACUGGGCGUAAAGGGCUCGUAGGUGGCCAACUAAGUCAGACGUGAAAUCCCUCGGCUUAACCGGGGAACUGCGUCUGAUACUGGAUGGCUGGAGAUUGGGAGAGGGAUGCGGAAUUCCAGGUGUAGCGGUGAAAUGCGUAGAUAUCUGGAGGAACACCGGUGGCGAAGGCGGCAUCCUGGACCGAUACUGACGCUGAGGAGCGAAAGCCAGGGGAGCAAACGGG